GAACCGUACAAACGUUAUUCGGAAUCACUGGGCUUAAAGGGUGCGUAGGCGGCUUGGCAAGUUGGGUGUGAAAUCCCUCGGCUCAACCGAGGAACUGCGCCCAAAACUGCCAGGCUUGAGGGAGAUAGAGGUGAGCGGAACUUAGGGUGGAGCGGUGAAAUGCGUUGAUAUCCUAAGGAACACCGGUGGCGAAGGCGGCUCACUGGAUCUCUUCUGACGCUGAGGCACGAAAGCUAGGGUAGCGAACGGGGAUUAGAUACCCCGGUAGUCCUAGCUGUAAACGAUGAGCACUGGGUUGGAGGCCCCCCCCCCCCAUAGGCUUCCGGCCGAAGCGAAAGUGUUAAGUGCUCCGCCUGGGGAGUAUGGUCGCAAGGCUG
rnacentral:rRNA from 1 species